AGUUCCAUAGGCUGCUCUAAUACAUAUAUCCAGACAGUGAGAUCGGUUCGACAACUCAGUCUCUUCGAACUAUUUCAAUCGCAACCACGCACCCCGAUAAACAUCGAAAUGAAAUUAUUCGUUUACGUCAUUUUCUUCUUAAUGGCAUUCUUGCAGUUCAUAACGGCAUCGCCAACAGCCGAAGCAGAGCCCACCAUUCGUAGAGUGAUUCGUAAUCGAAUUAUUCGCAAUCAAAUUGGAAAAUGAGAUGAGACAUCAUUCAUCGUUUGCCAGCAGGUUGUUUUGUUGAUUAAUAAAUGAGUUUUUGUUUUUGAA